rnacentral:tRNA from 1 species
GGGGUUGUGGCUCAGUGGUAGAGUGCUUGCCUAGCAUGUAUGAAGUACUAGGUUUGAUCCUCAACACCA